UACGUAUGGGGCAAGCGUUAUCCGGAUUCAUUGGGCGUAAAGAGCGCGUAGGCGGAUUGUUAAGUCAGAUGUGAAAACUGGGGGCUCAACCCGCAGCCUGCAUCUGAAACUGGCAGUCUUGAGUCUGGUAGAGGAGUGUGGAAUUCCCAGUGUAGCGGUGAAAUGCGCAGAUAUUGGGAGGAACACCAGUGGCGAAGGCGGCACUCUGGGCCACGACUGACGCGGAGGAGCGAAAGCUAGGGGAGCAAACAGG
rnacentral:rRNA from 1 species